CUACGGGCGGCUGCAGUCGAGGAUAUUUAGCAAUGGACGAAAGUCUGACUAUGCGACGCCGCGUGAGGGAUGAAGGUUUUCGGAUCGUAAACCUCUUUCGAUGGAGACGAAGUUUUGAGCAAUCAAAAUUGACGGUACCCAGAGAAGAAGCCACGGCUAACUCCGUGCCAGCAGCCGCGGUAAUACGGAGGUGGCGAGCGUUACUCGGAUUCAUUGGGUGUAAAGGGCAGGUAGGCGACCUAGCAAGUUUUAGGUGAAAUCCUUUGGCUUAACCAAAGAACUGCUUAAAAAACUGCUAGGAUCGAGGCUGGAAGAGGAGAACGGAAUUCCCGGUGUAAGAGUGAAAUCUGUAGAUAUCGGGAAGAACACCAGUGGCGAAGGCGGUUCUCUGGUCCAGCCCUGACGCUGAGCUGCGAAAGCUAGGGGAGCAAACAGGAUUAGAUACCCCCGUAGUC
rnacentral:rRNA from 1 species